rfam:Schistosoma margrebowiei strain Zambia genome assembly, scaffold: SMRZ_contig0000493
AUCUAGCUGACGAGUCCCAAACAGGACUAAACGCACGUGAUGGAU